UCUGAGCUCACUUGCUCUGCACCUGCCCUCCCUCCUUCUAGGGCCAUCCAGCCAUUCCCUGGGGCAGUGAAUGCCUGGCUGCCCAGAUGUCUGAGCCAGGCCCCAGGAUGAAUGGCUUCUUUCUGCGUGAGCUGUGCUGGCUCCUGUGCUGCCCGCCUGCCCAAGCCACAUCACUGCCAAGCUGAUCUUCCUGCCGCCUCAGCCCACCUACACAGUGCUAGUGCCCGAGCCUAUUGUCCCGGACAGACAGCAGUACUUGCAGUGCAAGCUCCAUGCUGUCAAGGUCUUCUCACGCAUGGGGGCGGGGGACAACGGGCUCCCGGUACAUGCUGCUCUUCUAGCAUGGCAACACAGUGGACGUGGACCAGAUGUGCAGCGUCUGUAUUGGCCUCUGCUGGCACAUCAACUGCAAUAUCUUCUCCUGUGACUACUCAGGCUACGUCGUCAGCUUGGACAAGCCUUCUGAGGCACUCCGUGGCAGGCGCUGCACACCUGGUAUAGCGUUAAGUCCUGAGAAUAUUAUCCUCUAUGGUCAGAGCACUGGCACUGUCCCCACCGUAAAACUGGCUUUGCAAUAUGAGUGUGCAACGGUAAUUCUCUGUUCCCCCUGAUGUCUGCCUUGCUUGUGGCUUUUCUGGAUACCAGGAAAACAUACUGCUUUUAUGCUUUCCCCGGCAUUGACAAGAUAUCUACAGUCACCUCUUCUGUGUUGGUCAUUCACCAUGCGGAGGGUGCGGUCAUUGAUUUCUCCCAUGGCCUAGCGAUGUAGGAGCACUGUCCCUGCACUGUGGAGCCCCUCUGGGUUGGGACUGGCCAUUAUGACAGAGAGCUUUAUGUACAAUACCUAGAGAGACUAAAACAGUUCAUAUCUCAUGAACUUCCUAAUCCCUGAAGACGACGACUCUAUUUUACCUCAUGUACUGUGAAGAGUCCUCUGUUUUGCACAUGCUUCAACUGGAUAGCUGUAAUGGCUUGAGAACCACAAAGAAGUGUCCAACCUUUAGGGUGUUCUAAUCAAAAAGCUGAUGAAAUCUCAGCCUUUUGUACUGAAAGGUUGUUUUACUAAUUCCCAUAAUAUGUUAAACUGAACAGUCGUGAUUCCCAGCUUCAUUACCUUGCAGGAAUGGGAAUGAGAGCUGAAUGUAGGGACAGUUUUCUAGUGCUAUAUAAAAUAUGGUCAUAUCUUUUUCUUAACCCUACCUGUCAUUUCUGAUUCACUUAUGCAGGACUCAACCCUGUCUCCACCAGUGUUCUCACUAUUUGACAUGCAGCUGUCUUUCAGCCAGUGGAUUCAUGGGGUUAAUCCAUUUGUGAAGCUGUGAUAGUAUAACUAGAAAACUAUUGUGGGGAAAAUCCCUUUAUUAAUUUUUGUUACCAUGCUGAUCUUUCCCUAAACAAAUGAAUUGAAGGGCAAUCUCCUGGAACUAUCAUGAACGGCCUGAUCAACUGUAACUAUAUAAAUAUAACUGAAAUAUUCUUAAAAGGAAACUAGAAGUUUUUUAAAGUAUAAAUAUAUUACUAGCCAGCACAGUUUUAAUAUUUUGAUUGUCUAGUUGGUUUAACAAAGACCCUAGCUGACUUUCCUUCUGUAAAAUCCUCCUUGUAGGCUUUUUAAAAGUACUAUACAUAUUUGCAAUCCCAUUGUGCAUAGAUUUUUAAUGGGUAUUUUUCUUAUGUCAGGCUACAACAAUGAACUACAAAUUCCUUGUCUGUAAUGUAAAUAUGCUUUGAUGAAUUUAUGUAAUUAAAAUUUCACCAAGCUAAAAACAAAAAACAAAGAAGUCUAUUUCUCUCAUAUCAUAUUCUGACCUGAGGAUUCCAGGUCUCUACAUAGUCAGACAGGGAUCUAGGCUUCUGACAGAUCUGCCAUCUUUAAGAUGAGACUUCCAAGGUCACUGUAGUCAUUUCCAUUGCAGCCAGUGGAACAACAGAAGGAAGGAUCAUCCAGGACCAGGAAAUGUCUCUUAAGCAAUAGACUUGUACUCAUUAUUUCUGCUCAAAUUUCACUGAUGAGAACUAAGUCCUAUGGUCACAUUCAAAACCUAAAGAAAGAAACUGAGGCAAAAUGAAUAUAGAUAGAGAGUUUAUUUGGGUCAAGGUUGAGGACUGCAGCUGGGUAAACACUGGGAAGUGCUGUUUGGCCUUUGUUACAAGCAAGUUUUUAAAUGUAAAAGAGAACAAACAUUGAGUGGACUGAUACAAAGUUGUUUGAUAGGAAUUCUCAUUGGUUUACAGAAAUAGCAUUGAUUAGUGAUUAGGUAUACACUGUUGAGCUAUAGGGUAUGAGUUAUGGUGUCCAGUAUAUGGCAUUGUUAGGUUAAUUUAUAGAUACUUGCCAUCAGUCAGUCUAGAGCUCAUAUAGCAAGUGGCCUGGAAAGGCUAUUACUUAGCUCAAUGCCAGAGUGAGAUGUGACUGCUGUCACAUUCCAAUGCCUCUCUGGGCCCAAUAAUUUAAAUGGGCUUGCAUUCUUUACAUAAAAAUUUCUUUUCUCUCUCAACAUCUAGUUUUAAGGGAGACUAGGAAAUUUAGUCCCUAGUUGGGUAGCCAUAUCUCAGUUACCAUAAUGGAGAGAAUAGAUUUCCAUCACAGGAUAUAAUUUCCAACAUAUUAAAAUUGACAUUUUAAAAUAAAAUGUACAUCAUUUUAUCAAAUGUACCCAAUGGAUCCUGAAUUCUGUAGUAAUUUAAUAUCCAGCACUAUCAAUUUUUUAAAAGACCUGAACAAGCUCUUCUUUAACAGCUAGAUAUAUUGCAUUUUUCCUUUCUCUCCUAGAAGUCAUAAUUCCAUUUCACCUCCCCCACAAAAUAUUAUGCUAAUAUAAUAUAAUUUUAGGUUUGAAAACCUUUUAUUAAU